rnacentral:rRNA from 1 species
AUGAACGCUGGCGGCGUGCCUAAUACCUGCAAGUCGAGCGAACAGACGAGGAGCUUGCUCCUCUGACGUUAGCGGCGGACGGGUGAGUAACACGUGGAUAACCUACCUAUAAGACUGGGAUAACUUCGGGAAACCGGAGCUAAUACCGGAUAAUAUGUUGAACCGCAUGGUUCAACAGUGAAAGACGGUCUUGCUGUCGCUUAUAGAUGGAUCCGCGCCGCAUUAGCUAGUUGGUAAGGUAACGGCUUACCAAGGCAACGAUGCGUAGCCGACCUGAGAGGGUGAUCGGCCACACUGGAACUGAGACACGGUCCAGACUCCUACGGGAGGCAGCAGUAGGGAAUCUUCCGCAAUGGGCGAAAGCCUGACGGAGCAACGCCGCGUGAGUGAAGAAGGUCUUCGGAUCGUAAAACUCUGUUAUUAGGGAAGAACAAAUGUGUAAGUAACUAUGCACGUCUUGACGGUACCUAAUCAGAAAGCCACGGCUAACUACGUG